rnacentral:rRNA from 1 species
AACGGCCGCGGUAUCCUAACCGUGCAAAGGUAGCAUAAUCACUUGCCCAUUAAUUGUGGGCUAGAAUGAAAGGAUAAACAAAAUAAAACCUGUCUCUAUUAUUUAAAUAUAAAUUAAUCCCUAGAUGAAGAAGUCUAGAUAACAUUGAUGGACAAGAAGACCCUAUAGAGCUUUAUUUAUAAUAAAAAUAAAAAUUUUAUUUAUAAUUUGGUUGGGGCGACCCAGGGAUAUAAUUUUCAUCCUUAAAUUAAAGACUUUAAGUCUCUAUUCUGAUCCUAUAAUAUUUAGAUCAACAGAUCAAGCUACCUUAGGGAUAACAGGCUAAUCCUAUUUAAGAGUCCUUAUCA